UCGAAACACCGAUUCUCGGACGAUCACCGAAGUUAAGCAAAGUUGAGUCUGCUCAGUAUUUAGAUGGGUGACCACUGGGGAAUACCAGGUGCU